rnacentral:lncRNA from 1 species
CAGGCUGAAAAAAAACUAUCAUCCUCUCCGCCGCCGGCCUCCAUUUAUGUCCCUCUGCCCUUUGUCACCUUCUAUUUGCCUUCCUCCUCUUCCACGACUAUCCAACUGUGGAGGAGGAGAUGAAAAAGGAAAAGGCAGAGAGGAAGGAGGCCCGCUGCAGCGGGAGGGGCCACGACGGCACCGACCGACAGGGUAGGUCGGGAGGAUGAUGUAUGUGGGAGGCUUAUGGCAGAGGUCUCCGAUCUAGGAGGUGGAGACACCGUAGCAUGGAUGCGGAAAAGACAAAAUCUUGGGAAAAAACAGAGGAAAAGCUGGGGGAAAGCAUUGGAAAAAUCAACGAAAACAGAGAAAAUACCAAACAAUUAAAAGGUAAGACCUUGUCCCACAUAGAUUCAUUUUUUUCCUUUUCGCUUCUUCUUUCCAUUGAAGGAGAGCACCUGAGAGAGAUCGGAGGGGUUUCUUAGGUUUCGGUCGGAUUUUUUCCUCAAGCAGAUUUUGUGUGAGUUGUGGCGGU